rnacentral:rRNA from 1 species
UACGAAGGGGGCUAGCGUUGCUCGGAAUCACUGGGCGUAAAGCGCACGUAGGCGGACUCUUAAGUCGGUGGUGAAAUCCUGGAGCUCAACUCCAGAACUGCCUUCGAUACUGGGAGUCUCGAGUCCGGGAGAGGUGAGUGGAACUGCGAGUGUAGAGGUGAAAUUCGUAGAUAUUCGCAAGAACACCAGUGGCGAAGGCGGCUCACUGGCCCGGUACUGACGCUGAGGUGCGAAAGCGUGGUGAGCAAACAGG